rnacentral:lncRNA from 1 species
UGAGGGACCCGGUUACCAACCUGCAUGACGCUCAGUUUGCCCAUCUGUCCCAGUGGUAACACACAGUUCUCGGGAGACGUUCCCCAUUCCCAGAGGAGUAGUGUGAAACGCGUGCGCCUCUAGUCUUAAACUUGGCGUUUGUAUUAGUUGGGUUUCCUGGUGUCUCUUUAGCAAGUGAAGUUUCUGGUUCCCUCCUUCACUGUGUGACCUGCCUAGUCCUCCUGGGUCGCAUUUACAGAAGUUUAUACGAGACCUAGUUUCCAGGGAAGAACUCACUGAUUCCGCGAGGGAGAUGGCUUAAUGGAUGAUGGUCGUCAGCCUUAAGGAUACUUCAGUCUUAACUGUGUGUUACAAAGUUUGAAAGGGAGGGUUCCCUAUGAAUAAGAAGCACACUUGAAAGAACAGCCAUCUGGUCUAACCUCUCACUGGUGCUUCAGAGGAGGAAAAAAGGUCACAGCUAUGUUUCCAGUGUCCUCUGGGUGUUUCCAAGAGCAACAAGAAAUGAAUAAAUCUCUGG